AUUGAACGCUGGCGGCAGGCCUAACACAUGCAAGUCGAGCGGAGCGGCGGACGGGUGAGUAAUGCCUGGGAAUCUGCCUGGUAGUGAGGGAUAACGUCCGGAAACGGGCCCUAAUACCGCAUACUAUAAGGUGGGCCUAGGUGGGAUUAGCUAGUUGGUGGGGUAAAGGCUUACCAAGGCGACGAUCCGUAACUGGUCUGAGAGGAUGAUCAGUCACACUGGAACUGAGACACGGUCCAGACUCCUACGGGAGGCAGCAGUGGGGAAUAUUCGACAAUGGGCGAAAGCCUGACCCAGCCAUGCCGCGUGUGUGAAGAAGGUCUUCGGAUUGUAAAGCACUGUAAGUUGGGAGGCGUUACCAACAGAAAAAGCAACGGCUAACUUCGUGCCAGCAGCCGCGGUAAUUC
rnacentral:rRNA from 1 species